rnacentral:rRNA from 1 species
UGCAGUCGNACGCGAAAGUUUCCUUCGGGAAACGAGUAGAGUGGCGAAAGGGCGAGUAAUGCAUGGGUAACGUACCCCGAGCACGAGGAUAGCCGCGGGAAACUGCGGGUAAUACUCGAUGAGACCACGGUGUCAUAUGGCACAGCGGUCAAAGGGUGGGGAUCUCUUCGGAGACCUGCCGGCUUGGGAGCGGCCCAUGUCCUAUCAGCUUGUUGGUGUGGUAACGGCUCACCAAGGCAAUGACGGGUAGCGGGACUGAGAGGUUGACCCGCCGCAUUGGGACUGAGACACUGCCCAGACUCCUACGGGAGGCUGCAGUAACGAAUAUUGGACAAUGAACGAAAGUUUGAUCCAGCAAUGCCGCGUGUGGGAAGAAGCCCUUCGGGGUGUAAACCACUGUCCGGGACUACCAAGCAAUGGAGAUUAAUACCCUCCUGCGUUGAGGCGUCCCGAAGAAAGUCACGGCUAACUUCGUGCCAGCAGCCGCGGUAAGACGAAGGUGGCGAGCGUUGUUCGGAAUCACUGGGCUUAAAGAGCACGUAGGCGGACUAUCAAGCGUUUUGUGAAAUCCCUCGACUCAACCGAGGAAUUGCUUGGCGAACUGAUAGUCUUGAGGCAGGCAGGGGCAAGUGGAACUCUUGGUGGAGCGGUGGAAUGCGUAGAUAUCAAGAGGAACGCCAGANGCGAAGGCGACUUGCUGGGCCUGUCCUGACGCUCAGGUGCGAAAGCUAGGGUAGCGAACGGGAUUAGAUACCCCGGUAGUCCUAGCCCUAAACGAUGUCAACUAGAUCGAUGGUUCUCUGACGUUCUGUCGGUCGAAAUAAAAACGUUNAGUUGAC